rnacentral:lncRNA from 1 species
AUGAUCUUUUUGUAUGCAUUUUUGUGCAGUACUGCCUGAUCCUUGAAAGGAAAAGGAUAACAAAGAGCUGUUUUACAAAGGUAUUCAUUUUCUUGUUUAUCGGUUUUGCAGAGUCCAGAUGGCUGCACAGUUGCAUCUGCAGCUGGAGAUGAAACUCUUAGAUUUUGGAAUGUAUUUGGGACUCCUGAAGUUGCAAAACCUGCACCAAAGGCAAACCCUGAACCAUUUGCUCACCAAAGGCAAACCAUGAUUCGCUGAAUGGCAAUGGAACAACAUUACUACAUGCCUGGUGAUUUCUGUACAGUCUUGUCAAUACAAGACUGUGAAUGGCUGCACAGUUGCAUCUGCAGCUGGAGAUGAAACUCUUAGAUUUUGGAAUGUAUUUGGGACUCCUGAAGUUGCAAAACCUGCACCAAAGGCAAACCCUGAACCAUUUGCUCACCAAAGGCAAACCAUGAUUCGCUGAAUGGCAAAGGAACAACAUUACUACAUGCCUGGUGAUUUCUGUACAGUCUUGUCAAUACAAAUACUGGAGCAAAGACUGCUGACUGAAGAAAACUGUGAAUUCAUUUCUAACUUUACUAUCUGUGUUAGAUCCUAGACCAGAUCAACUGCUGUAUGUAGAACAUAUUUUUAUUUUAUUUUUUAUUUAUGAUCAGCAAGAUCAGAUUUAUCUGCGACAAUUUGGACCUGGUCUCACCUAUAGUGACAAAGGGCCCGUCCAGAAAUAUUACCUUCAAUUCCCCUUGUACAGUUACCGGAUGAUAAUUCAGUAUUUCUCAAUAUAAAAACAUGAUGAUUUUGAAACUAUUGAAGGUUUGUUAUCCUAAAUACAAUUCAACUGAAUCUUUAUUGCCU